rnacentral:lncRNA from 1 species
ACAUCAUUUGUAAUAUUACGGUCAUGAUUACACCGAAUAAUUCCUGGUCAUAAUCAUAUCAAGUCCAUCUAUGCACUACAGGCCACAGAUGACUUUCAAUAAAAUAUAAAUAUGAGGAUGAUGACAAUGAUAUAAGAAUUCAAUAAAACAAGUUCAAGAAUUAAUUUAUUCAGGAACUAAUAACGUCCAAAUUGUCAACAUGAUACUUCUUUGUAGUGUAAAAUUUAAGAAUGCUCAGAAGAAUAUUUCCACGAAAAGAUACUGAAUGAAGCGCAAAUAUCAAGGAUAUUCCAC